UACAGAGGGUGCGAGCGUUAAUCGGAAUUACUGGGCGUAAAGCGCGCGUAGGCGGCUUUGCAAGUCGAGUGUGAAAUCCCUCAGCUUAACUGGGGAACUGCGUCUGAUACUGGAUGGCUUGAGUUUGGGAGAGGGAUGCGGAAUUCCAGGUGUAGCGGUGAAAUGCGUAGAUAUCUGGAGGAACACCGGUGGCGAAGGCGGCAUCCUGGACCAACACUGACACUGAGGAGCGAAAGCCAGGGGAGCAAACGGG
rnacentral:rRNA from 1 species